GGGGGCCGAUACACUGUACGAGA
rnacentral:miRNA from 5 species